GAUGAACGCUGGCGGCGUGCCUAAUACAUGCCAGUCGAGCGAACGGACGAGGAGCUUGCUCCUUUGACGUUAGCGGCGGACGGGUGAGUAACACGUGGAUAACCUACCUAUAAGACUGGGAUAACUUCGGGAAACCGGAGCUAAUACCGGAUAAUAUAUUGAACCGCAUGGUUCAAUAGUGAAAGACGGUUUUGCUGUCACUUAUAGAUGGAUCCGCGCCGCAUUAGCUAGUUGGUAAGGUAACGGCUUACCAAGGCAACGAUGCGUAGCCGACCUGAGAGGGUGAUCGGCCACACUGGAACUGAGACACGGUCCAGACUCCUACGGGAGGCAGCAGUAGGGAAUCUUCCGCAAUGGGCGAAAGCCUGACGGAGCGACGCCGCGUGAGUGAUGAAGGUCUUCGGAUCGUAAAACUCUGUUAUUAGGGAAGAACAAAUGUGUAAGUAACUAUGCACGUCUUGACGGUACCUAAUCAGAAAGCCACGGCUAACUACGUG
rnacentral:rRNA from 1 species